GGUGGAUGCCUUGGCAUCAAGAAGCGACGAAAGACGUGGGAGCCUGCGAUAUGCCUCGGGGAGUCGGCAACCAGACUGCGAUCCGAGGAUUUCUGAAUGAGGAAACUCAAUAACCAUGCAGUGAAUUCAUAGCUGCAUGGAGCGAACGCGGGGAACUGAAACAUCUAAGUACCCGUAGGAAAAGAAAGAGACAUCGAUUCCGUAAGUAGCGGCGAGCGAAAUCGGAACAGCCCAAACCGGUCUUCGGACCGGGGUUGCGGGCGCCUUGAGCUGAAAAAGUCUUAGCAGAACGCUCUGGAAAGUGCGGCCAUAGCGGGUGAUAGCCCCGUAUGCGAAAAGAUAAAUAGGCGUUGAGAGGCGUACCAGAGUAGCACGGAGCUCGUGGAACUCCGUGCGAAGCUACGCGGACCACCGCGUAAGGCUAAAUAUUCCUUGAUGACCGAUAGUGAACAAGUAGGGCGAUUGAACGGUGAAAAGUACUGCUAUUAGCAGAGUUAAAAGUACCUGAAACCAUACACUUACAAGCGGUCGGAGCACUAUGCCCAGCAAUGGGAAUGUGUGACGGCGUACCUUUUGCAUAAUGGACCGGCGAGUGCAUUUCUGCAGCAAGGCUAAGGGAUCAAGUCCCGGAGCCGUAGCGAAAGCGAGUCUUAAGAUGGCGCUAAGUUGCAGGAUUGCGGCCCGAAACCCCGUGAUCUACCCAUGAGCAGAGUGAACGUUCCGUAACAGGAACGGGAGGCUCGAAGCCGUGAACGUUGAAAAGUUCUGGCAUGACUUGUGGGGAGGAGUGAAAGUCUAAUCAAACGGGGAGAUAUCUGGUUCUCUUCGAAAUGCCUUUAGGGGCAGCCUUGAGCAACUACUUAACAGGGGUAGAGCUACUGAAAGGGAACAGGGGGCUACCCGCCUACCUGUCCCUACCAAACUCCGAAUACUGUUAAGACUAUCUCAGGAGUGAGUCGGCGAGCGAUAAUGUUCGUCGUCGAGAGGGAAACAACCUUGACCGCCUGCUAAGGUCCCAAAUCUUCGCUUAGUUCGUGAGGAAGUUAUUCUACUGAGACAACCAGGAUGUUGGCUUAGAAGCAGCCACCAUUUAAAAAGUGCGUAAUAGCUUACUGGUCGAGUAGAGUAGCGCCGUAAAUGAUCGGGAAUAAGCGUAGAACCGAAGCAGCGGAUGCACAGCAAUGUGCGUGGUAGAAGAGCGUUGUAUGCAGCAUAGAAGCCAUACCGUAAGGAGUGGUGGAGCGCAUACAAGCGAGAAUGCCGGUAUGAGUAACGAUAAUGCAGGUGAAAAUCCUGCACGCCGAAAACCUAAGGUUUCCUGGGGAAGGUAAAUCCGCCCAGGGUUAGUCGGGAGCUAAGGCGAGGCCGAAAGGCGUAGUCGAUGCACAGCAGGUUAAUAUUCCUGCACCGAU
rnacentral:rRNA from 1 species